AUCUUAUCAAGAGUGACGUAAGGACAGGCCUUUUGAUGUCACAGCAACCUACCUCAGGCAAGGUGCUAAAUCCUGACAGAUGAGAG
rnacentral:ncRNA from 2 species